rnacentral:rRNA from 1 species
GUCUAUGGCCAUGCCACCCUGAACAUGCCCGAUCUCGUCUGAUCUCGGAAGCUAAACAGGGUCGGGCCCGGUUAGUACUUGGAUGGGAGACCACCUAGGAAGACCAGGUGCUGUAGGAG